rnacentral:rRNA from 1 species
GACGGACGCUGGCGGCGUGCUUAACACAUGCCAGUCGAACGGAAAGGCCCCAGCUUGCUGGGGUACUCGAGUGGCGAACGGGUGAGUAACACGUGGGUGAUCUGCCCUGCACUCUGGGAUAAGCCUGGGAAACUGGGUCUAAUACCGGAUAGGACCGUGCUCUAGUGUGUGCGGUGGAAAGUUUUUCGGUGCAGGAUGAGCCCGCGGCCUAUCAGCUUGUUGGUGGGGUAAUGGCCUACCAAGGCGGCGACGGGUAGCCGGCCUGAGAGGGUGUACGGCCACAUUGGGACUGAGACACGGCCCAGACUCCUACGGGAGGCAGCAGUGGGGAAUAUUGCACAAUGGGCGCAAGCCUGAUGCAGCGACGCCGCGUGGGGGAUGACGGCCUUCGGGUUGUAAACCCCUUUCGGCAGGGACGAAGCUUUUGUGACGGUACCUGCAGAAGAAGCACCGGCUAACUACGUG